AGAAGAAGAAGAAGAAGAAGAAGAAGAAGAAGAAGAAGAAGAAGAAGAAGAAGAAGAAGAAUUAUUAUGCACAUUGAUCCCCUGGGAAGAAGUAGCCUGAAUGGAUUCAGGCAAAGGAGGAAGAGUGUAGCAGACAUGUUUCAGGAAGGUACAUGCAGAAGUACAGCCUGCCUGCCUGCCUGACUUUGGAAACUACAUUCUCACCUUUACAGUCAUGUGCUCUCAUGCUGUCUGAAACAGCAAAAUUGCUUUUGGUAAAUGGCGUUGGCAGGCAUGACCAGCGAGCCCGGAACAAGCUCUAACUUAAUUACUGGACUCUGAUUUGAUUGCUUGGUUUGGUGCUGGUCUCUAAUGACCACAGUGUAUUCUCCAAUGCAGCUGUUGUUUCUGACAGCACUGUUAUCUUUGCAUGCUAAAAUGGUUAAUGUUAUCCUUGAAUGACUGCUCCAAGUGCCACUCGGUCCAGAUUACAAUGGCAUCUAUGUCUGAUCUCAGACAAACCGGUCUGGUACUCGCUGAUCUAAAGAUUACGAUUAGCAGCCCCGUUCUUGCCAUUCUGUUCCAUGUACCCUGCCAUUGACAUCUCAUUUUUUUUUUUAAUCUCCCAGCUGAAAGCUAUGCAGACAGAGGUCUCUCGUAGCCAGAAAAGGUUCAGUAUUGCUUUUGUUUUGAAUGCCUGCUACCUCCUUGUGGGACACUUGAUUAAGUGAAUGAGCCAGGGUUUUGGGUUACUCCCUUGAUGCUGCCCUGAGCUUUCUGUGGCUCAGAUGCUGCUUCUAAGCACGGCUCUGGCUUGCUUUCAGGAACCAGAGCCACACAACAAUCCUCAUCUAAAGUUCAGUCCCAUUGCUCACUCCGGGCUAUUCUUGUUGCUAGGCCAGGCGAACCACAGAUCCCCGUAGCUCCGCAAAGCCUCAACUGCCUCUGUUAGUCCUGGUAAGUAUCUUUGCCUGACUCUGUAGCUCCUCCCUGCUUUGUCUGACGGUCCAGAUUUGCCCACAUCACUCCCACAUUUUGGGAAACAGAGUGUGCCCUUGUAUCCAGUAGCUGCUAAAGGACCAUGGUAUGUGCCGCUGUCUGGGCACCUCUACCUAGGGGAAACACAAGAUUGCCCCUCCCUGCAUUUCAUUUUCCCAGGAAGACCAGCUCAGCUGUAACCUGGCCAAGACAUGUGGCCGACUUAAUCUGUGUUGAGUGCAGGUCAGGAACAAAAGAAAUGAGUUUUAAAAUAAGUUGUUAUCCCAAAGGUCCCCCAUACCCACCCCCCAACCCCCUACCCACCCACUCCCCCUUUUUGGCCCUGGCGUUCCCCUGUACUGAGGCAUAUAAAGUUUGCAAGUCCAAUGGGCCUCUCUUUCCAGUGAUGGCCGACUAGGCCAUCUUUUGAUACAUAUGCAGCUAGAGUCAAGAGCUCCGGGGUACUGGUUAGUUCAUAAUGUUGUUCCACCUAUAGGGUUGCAGUUCCCUUUAGCUCCUUGGGUAAUUUCUCUAGCUCCUCCAUUGGGGGCCGUGUGUUGGGGGGGGGUAUGGGGGACCUUUGGGAUAGCAUUGAAAAUGUAAACGAGGAAAAUACCUAAUUUAAAAAAAAAAAGUUGUUUUCCUAAGGGUGAUGGCAGUCGCAUGUAAUCCUAGCACUGAGGCUGAGGCAGGAGGAUAGCAAGUUUGUGGACAGCCUGGGCUGUUUUGUAAGUUCUAGGCUAGCCCAGGAAACUUAUCUAGAUCUAGAUUCUGUCACCUUGGGCCUGGUUAUGCUCCUAUAAUCUCAGCACUCCAAAGGUACAGGCAGGCACAGCUCUAGGAGUUCAAGGUUACCUCUGUCUCUACAGUGAAUUCAAGCCAGCUAGGGUUUGAAUUCCCUCCCACCCAC
rnacentral:lncRNA from 1 species